rnacentral:rRNA from 1 species
CUACGGGAGGCAGCAGUCGGGAAUUUUGCGCAAUGGAGGAAACUCUGACGCAGUGACGCCGCGUAUAGGAAGAAGGUUUUCGGAUUGUAAACUAUUUUAGUCAGGGAAGAAAAAUGACAGUACCUGAAGAAUAAGCUCCGGCUAACUACGUGCCAGCAGCCGC